UUGUGCUUUGAAGCAAAUAUUUGCUUUGACAAUUUAAUUGCUUUAUUUGUUUCCUCUUAACACUAAACUGAAUAUUUUCAGACUGAUGACACUGUAUUCAGCAACUCAGUGAUAUUUAGUCACAGCUCUAGUUGGCUUUCACAUUAAUCAUGAACUUAGAGGUAAUUAGUGUGAAGCUUUGAACUCUACUGAGUUCAUGAAUGCACAUGAAUGAUUUGUGUUUCCUCUGCAGGUAGAAAGUGUGUGUGAGCUGAGCAGCAUGGAUCAGUGUGAGGACAGAGAGGAGGGAGCCCCUCCCUCUAAAAGAGCCAGAGAGAGCCAGACCAAAGCUCAGAGGGACCAGCCUGGACCUCCACCCAGCUCUGUGUCCUUACAGAGUGGCCGGUCUAAAGGUCAGGUCAUAAAUUUUAAUGUCCAGCAGGAGUUUGCUGCAGAGAGCGCUGACUGAAGCCCGAUCACGCUGUUAAGUGGGCAGCCCCAAGAUGGCGGAUAAUUAGUUGCAGCUGUGCAGCUCGGAUCAGCAACAGGUGUGUGCGGCCAGCCUCAGCGCAGGAACACUCUCAGGGACGCUCGUCAUCACUCGACGGUGAACAAUCCCAUCACGAGAGAGAGAGAGAGGGAGGGAGCAACCAAAACAACAACUUUUUCAGCUAUUUAUUAAUAAGUGGCUUUUAUGUGGAUAUAUGCCUGUAUAUAUGGUGCUAUUCUUAGUUAGUGUAUUGUCUGUCUCUGUUAAUGUUUGUUUAUAAUGCAGCACUGUAACGAAACACAAUUUCCCCCAAGGAUCAAUAAAGUAUUCUGAUUCUGAAACACACGGGCAGGCUGCCCGGC
ensembl:lncRNA